GACGAACGCUGGCGGCGUGCCUAAUACAUGCAAGUUGAGCGCUGAAGGCUGGUACUUGUACCAACUGGAUGAGCAGCGAACGGGUGAGUCCCGCGUGGGGAAUCUGCCUUUGAGCGGGGGACAACAUUUGGAAACGAAUGCUAAUACCGCAUAAAAACUUUAAACACAAGUUUUAAGUUUUAAAUAUGCUAUUGCAUCACUCAAAGAUCAUCCAGAGUUGUAUUAGCUAGUUGGUGAGGUAAAGGCUCUUCAAGGCGAGGAUACAUAGCCGACCUGAGAGGGUGAGAGGCAAAGUUGGGACUGGAACAUGGCCCAAACUCCUGCGGGAGGCAGCAGUAGGGAAUUUUCGGGGAUAGAAGAAAGGCUGAACGAGCAACGCCGCGUGAGUGAAGAAGGGUUUCGGAUCGUAAAACUCUGUUGGUAGAGAAGAACGUAGAGGAGAGUGGAAAGCGCAGCUAGUGACGGUAACUAUCCAGAAAGGGACGGCUAACUACGUG
rnacentral:rRNA from 1 species